rnacentral:rRNA from 1 species
UACGUAGGGUGCAAACGUUGUUCGGAAUCACUGGGCAUAAAGAGCGCGUAGGCGGUCUGACAAGUCCCCUGUGAAAGCCCCCGGCUUAACCGGGGAACUGCAUGGGAUACUGUUGGGCUAGAGUGCAGGAGGGGAGAGCGGAAUUCCUGGUGGAGCGGUGAAAUGCGUAGAUAUCAGGAGGAACGCCGGCGGCGAAAGCGACUCUCUGGCCUGUAACUGACGCUGAGGCGCGAAAGCUAGGGGAGCAAACGGG